UCUUUGGUUAUCUAGCUGUAUGAGUAUUGUUUAAUAACAUCAUAAAGCUAGGUUACCGGAGUUA
rnacentral:pre_miRNA from 1 species